CCUACGGGGUGCAGCAGUGAGGAAUAUUGGUCAAUGGGCGCGAGCCUGAACCAGCCAAGUCGCGUGAGGGAAGACGGUCCUAUGGAUUGUAAACCUCUUUUGUCGGGGAGCAAAACACGCUACGCGUAGCGCUUCGAGUGUACCCGAAGAAAAAGCAUCGGCUAACUCCGUGCCAGCAGCCGCGGUAAUACGGAGGAUGCGAGCGUUAUCCGGAUUUAUUGGGUUUAAAGGGUGCGCAGGCGGAAGAUCAAGCCAGCGGUAAAAUUGAGGGGCUCAACCCCGUCGAGCCGUUGAAACUGGUUUGCUUGAGUGGGUGAGAAGUAUGCGGAAUGCGUGGGGUAGCGGUGAAAUGCAUAGAUAUCACGCAGAACUCCGAUUGCGAAGGCAGCAUACUGGCGCUCAACUGACGCUCAUGCACGAAAGUGUGGGUAUCGAACAGGAUUAGAUACCCUGGUAGUC
rnacentral:rRNA from 1 species